GUCUUUGUGGCUCAGCUGGUUAGAGCGUUGGUCUCAUACUCUAGUAUGACUCGAUUCUCAAAGAAUUGGGAUAUCCAAAGGUCGUGAGUUCGAACCUCACCAAGGACA